rnacentral:rRNA from 1 species
GUUGCCGGGGGUGCCUAUACUGCAGUCGAGCGAACUGAUUAGAAGCUUGCUUCUAUGACGUUAGCGGCGGACGGGUGAGUAACACGUGGGCAACCUGCCUGUAAGACUGGGAUAACUUCGGGAAACCGAAGCUAAUACCGGAUAGGAUCUUCUCCUUCAUGGGAGAUGAUUGAAAGAUGGUUUCGGCUAUCACUUACGGAUGGGCCCGCGGUGCAUUAGCUAGUUGGUGAGGUAACGGCUCACCAAGGCAACGAUGCAUAGCCGACCUGAGAGGGUGAUCGGCCACACUGGGACUGAGACACGGCCCAGACUCCUACGGGAGGCAGCAGUAGGGAAUCUUCCGCAAUGGACGAAAGUCUGACGGAGCAACGCCGCGUGAGUGAUGAAGGCUUUCGGGUCGUAAAACUCUGUUGUUAGGGAAGAACAAGUACUAGAGUAACUGCUCGUACCUUGACGGUACCUAACCAGAAAGCCACGGCUAACUACGUGCCAGCAGCCGCGGUAAUACGUAAGUGGCAAGCGUUAUCCGGAAUUAUUGGGCGUAAAGCGCGCGCAGGCGGUUUCUUAAGUCUGAUGUGAAAGCCCACGGCUCAACCGUGGAGGGUCAUUGGAAACUGGGGAACUUGAGUGCAGAAGAGAAAAGCGGAAUUCCACGUGUAGCGGUGAAAUGCGUAGAGAUGUGGAGGAACACCAGUGGCGAAGGCGGCUUUUUGGUCUGUAACUGACGCUGAAGCGCGAAAGCGUGGGGGAGCAAACAGGAUUAGAUACCCUGGUAGUCCACGCCGUAAACGAUGAGUGCUAAGUGUUAGAGGGUUUCCGCCCUUUAGUGCUGCAGCUAACGCAUUAAGCACUCUCGCCUGGGGAGUACCGUCGCAAGACUGAAACUCAAAGGGAUUGACGGGGGUCCGCACAAGCGGUGGGAGCAUGUGGUUUAAUUCGAAGCAACGCGAAGAACCUUACCAGGUCUUGACAUUCCUCUGACAACUCUAGAGAUAUGAGCGUCUCCUUCGGAGACAGAGUGACAGGUGUGUGCAU